GGGGAAGGAAUGUAGCUCAGUGGUAGAGCACCUAAUCUGCCUUGCGUGCAAGAGGUCCUUUGUUCAAUCCCCAGCAUCUCCA